AGAGUUUGAUCCUGGCUCAGAGUGAACGCUGGCGGCGUGGAUUAGGCAUGCAAGUCGAGCGAUCCCGCAAGGGAAAGCGGCAAACGGGUGAGUAACACGUGAGUAAUCUACCUUAAGGUCUAGGAUACCCUCGCGAAAGCGAGGUUAAUACCAGAUUACAUUUUGAUAUCGCAUGAUAUUAAAAUUAAAGUUUUUGAGCAAUCAAGAAUGCCUUAAGAUGAGCUCGCGGCCUAUCAGCUAGUUGUUAGGGUAAUGGCCUACCAAGGCUUUUGACGGGUAGCUAGUCUAAGAGGAUGUUUAGCCACAUUGGGACUGAGACACUGCCCAGACUCCUACGGGAGGCUGCAGUCGAGAAUCUUUAGCAAUGGACGAAAGUCUGACUAUGCGACGCCGCGUGAGGGAUGAAGGUCUUCGGAUUGUAAACCUCUUUCAGCUGGGAAGAAAAAAUGUGGUCAAUAGCCACAGAAUUGACGGUACCAGUAGAAGAAGCCACGGCCAACUCCGUGCCAGCAGCCGCGGUAAUACGGAGGUGGCAAGCGUUACUCGGAUUCACUGGGUGUAAAGGGCAGGUAGGCUACUUGAUAAGUUGGAUGUGAAAUCUCUCGGCUUAACCGGGAAACUGCAUUCAAAACUAUCAGGAUUGAGGUCGAAGGAAGAGAAUAGAAUUAUCGGUGUAAGGGUGAAAUCUGUAGAUAUCGAUAGGAAUACCAAUAGCGAAAGCAUUUCUCUAUUUCGAUUCUGACGCUGAACUGCGAAAGCUAGGGGAGCAAACAGGAUUAGAUACCCUGGUAGUCCUAGCCGUAAACGAUGGGCACUAGGUGCCGGCUCGCAAGGGUCGGUGUCGUAAGAUAACUCGUUAAGUGCCCCACCUGGGGACUACGGCCGCAAGGUUAAAACUCAAAGGAAUUGACGGGGGCCCGCACAAGCGGUGGAACAUGUGGUUUAAUUCGAUGCUACGCGAAGAACCUCACCAGGGUUUGACAUGUAGGAAGUAAGAACCUGAAAGGGAGAUGACUCGUUAAAUCGAGAACUUACACAGGUGUUGCAUGGCU
rnacentral:rRNA from 1 species